rnacentral:lncRNA from 1 species
ACAGCCCACUGCCCUGAGGACUUCUUAAGAGGCUGCUCACACUCUGUGCAGGAGUCAGUCCCAGUCAGGACACAGCAUGGCCAUGAGGGCCCCUGUUCAGCUACUGGGGCUCCUGUUGCUCUACCUUCCAGGGGCUGCACACAAAAUAUGUUUUCUUCUUCAACUUGACCUCUGCAGAGGGUUCCUGUGUAGGU